rnacentral:tmRNA from 1 species
GGGGGCGACCUGGUUUCGACGGGGGCAUGGAAGUUCGAGACGCGUGCCGAGCUUGUUGGUUCGCUCGUAAAACCAACCGACAAAGACACAAAAGCCAACGACAACGUUGAGCUCGCGCUGGCUGCCUAACUAGCAGUUUCCUGGUGCGCGGUCCUCCUGCUCUCGGCCCGUGGGGUGGGGUAGGACCGUCAUAAUGCGGGCUGGCCGUCGAGGGUGCCUGGACUCUCGGCGGUGAGAUCAUCCAGGACCGGCUCACAGAAUCCCGUCCGUGGGAGUCUGGGGGACGUAGCAAAUCGCGGACUACGCACGUAGGGUCAAAGGACGGAAGGCUUUCGGACGCGGGUUCGAUUCCCGCCGCCUCCACUG